rnacentral:rRNA from 1 species
AUUCCAGCUCCAAUAGCGUAUACUAAAGUUGCUGCAGUUAAAAAGCUCGUAGUUGGAUUUCUGGUCGUGGUCGCCGGUCGUGCCCAAACGGGUUCUGUACCUGGCGCCCGCGUCCAUCCUCGGGGAGAGCGUGUCUGGCAUUAAGUUGUCGGGCUCGGGACCCCCGUCAUUUACUGUGAGCAAAAUAGAGUGUUCAAAGCAGGCUUAGGCCAUGAAUACAUUAGCAUGGAAUAAUAAGAUAAGACCUUGGUCUAUUUUGUUGGUUUGCAUUCCAAGGUAAUGAUUAAUAGGGAUAGUUGGGGGUAUUCGUAUUCAAUUGUCAGAGGUGAAAUUCUUGGAUUUAUGGAAGACGAACUACUGCGAAAGCAUUUACCAAGGAUGUUUUCAUUG